UCGUAGAUAGUGUAAUAUUGGUAAAACACUGCACUGAUAAAGCAGAGAUUAUUGGUUCAAAUCCAAUUCUACGUUGUGCAA
rnacentral:tRNA from 1 species